rnacentral:lncRNA from 1 species
AUCCGGAUCCCGUCGCACAGUCGCACAGUCACGAGCAGGCUUUGUGCGAACUAGGGCGCGAGCCCUCCAGAGAGCCGCGGCCCGGGAGGCCACAGUCAGCUUCCUCCGCCUCCGGCGCUUUCCAGCUAGGGUCUGGGUCGGGUGGAGCCGCGGGAGCGGCGCUGUUGGGCGCACAGACCUCCGGAAAGCCCAACACACGGACAACGAAAUUGGCCCGCGACCAAGUCCACAGGCUCAGCCGCCAAGGGGCGCGCGGUCCUGCGGCGCUUUAAGUUAGGAGAGAGACGACAGAAAACGCAUUCCCUCCCUACCCCCCGACACACACACUCGAUUUUCCCAGAGGCUGGGAAGGGGGUGUUAGCACCAGACCCGAAAUGUCGCUGUCUUUGAAAACAACGAAAACAGGAAAAUCUGAGCGCGGAGCUGAAAGGCGCCCCAGGCACCGGGCUGGACUCCAACUGGCCAGAAGUGGGGUGGGGGUGGGAGGACAGAAGGAUUUGGUUCCCUGCCGGCAGGAGGCUUUGGAACUAAAAACUAGGGGUUGCCACGAAUCCCGGCUUCUGGGAGUAGGGAUUGAAAGGGAGGAGGGGCCGGGCGCGGUGCCUCACGCCUGUAAUCCCAGCACUUUGAGAGGCCGAGGCAGAUGGAUCACCUGAGGUCAAGAGAUCCAGACCAUCCUGGCCAACAUGGUGAAACCCCGUCUCUACUAAAAAUAGAAGAAAUUAGCUGGUCGUGGUGGCGCGCGCCUGUAGUCCCAGCUACUAGGCAGGCUGAGGCAGGAGAAUCGCUUGAACCCGGG